rnacentral:rRNA from 1 species
AUGCUGCUUGGGUUGUGCUCCGCCCUGCGCUCGCGUGCCCUCCUCCUCCCUCUGACCCCGCCGCCUCGUACGGCCACCCUUCGCCGCCGGACUUGGCUGCGGGCCACCUCCUCCUUGUCAUCUCCGCCGUCGCCGGAGAUGGAGGCGUCGGCGUACAAGUUCGGGCCCUACAGGAUCGACGCGAGGGAGGUCUUCCACGCCACGCCCCUCUCAUACGCCAUGGUCAACCUACGCCCCCUCCUCCCUGGUCAUGUCCUUGUGUGCCCCAAGCGUGAAGUGAAACGCUUUACUGAUCUAAGUACUGAUGAGACAAGUGAUUUAUGGGUCACUGCAAAGGAAGUUGGUGUACGGCUUGAGCAGUACCACAAAGCUUCUUCGCUUACAUUUGCGAUUCAGGAUGGUCCUCAAGCUGGCCAAACAGUCCCGCACGUCCACAUCCAUGUGAUCCCCAGGAAGAAGGGAGAUUUCGAAAAUAAUGAUGAAAUAUAUGACGCGAUAGAUGUGAAAGAAAAAGAAAUGAAGGAAAAGCUUGAUCUGGAUGUUGAAAGAAAAGAUAGAACCAUGGAAGAAAUGAGUCAUGAGGCUAACGAGUACCGUGCUCUUUUCUCCUAG